rnacentral:rRNA from 1 species
GACGAACGCUGGCGGCGUGCUUAACACAUGCAAGUCGAACGGAAAGGCCUGCCACCUUGGUGGUGGGUACUCGAGUGGCGAACGGGUGAGUAACACGUGGGUGAUCUGCCCCGCACUGUGGGAUAAGCCUGGGAAACUGGGUCUAAUACCACAUACGACCACACUGUAGACAGUGUGGUGGAAAGCUUUUGCGGUGUGGGAUGAGCCCGCGGCCUAUCAGCUUGUUGGUGGGGUAAUGGCCUACCAAGGCGGCGACGGGUAGCCGGCCUGAGAGGGUGGACGGCCACAUUGGGACUGAGACACGGCCCAGACUCCUACGGGAGGCAGCAGUGGGGAAUAUUGCACAAUGGGCGCAAGCCUGAUGCAGCGACGCCGCGUGGGGGAUGGAAGGCCUUCGGGUUGUAAACUCCUUUCGCCCGGGACGAAGCCCACCUGGUGGGUGACG